GCAAGUCGAACGGUAAGGCUCCAGCUUGCUGGGGUACACGAGUGGCGAACGGGUGAGUAACACGUGGGUGACCUGCCCUGCACUUCGGGAUAAGCCUGGGAAACUGGGUCUAAUACCGGAUAGGACCGCACCGUGAGGGUGUGGUGGAAAGUUUUUUCGGUGUGGGAUGGGCCCGCGGCCUAUCAGCUUGUUGGUGGGGUAAUGGCCUACCAAGGCGGCGACGGGUAGCCGGCCUGAGAGGGUGGACGGCCACAUUGGGACUGAGACACGGCCCAGACUCCUACGGGAGGCAGCAGUGGGGAAUAUUGCACAAUGGGCGGAAGCCUGAUGCAGCGACGCCGCGUGGGGGAUGACGGCCUUCGGGUUGUAAACUCCUUUCACCAUCGACGAAGGGUUUCUGACGGUAGAUGGAGAAGAAGCACCGGCUAACUACGUGCCAGCAGCCGCGGUAAUACGUAGGGUGCGAGCGUUGUCCGGAAUUACUGGGCGUAAAGAGCUCGUAGGUGGUUUGUCGCGUCGUCUGUGAAAUUCCGGGGCUUAACUCCGGGCGUGCAGGCGAUACGGGCAUAACUUGAGUACUGUAGGGGAGACUGGAAUUCCUGGUGUAGCGGUGAAAUGCGCAGAUAUCAGGAGGAACACCGGUGGCGAAGGCGGGUCUCUGGGCAGUAACUGACGCUGAGGAGCGAAAGCAUGGGGAGCGAACAGGAUUAGAUACCCUGGUAGUCCAUGCCGUAAACGGUGGGCGCUAGGUGUGGGUUUCCUUCCACGGGAUCCGUGCCGUAGCUAACGCAUUAAGCGCCCCGCCUGGGGAGUACGGCCGCAAGGCUAAACUCAAUGAAUUGACGGAA
rnacentral:rRNA from 1 species